UUCAUGGAUGGUUACAGCUUUCCUGAUUUUUUGUUUGCUAAGUAACCACUGUAAUGCCGCAAACAGGAAGUGAUCAACUGACCAGCUAAACUAAUUGCUAAUGGAAGAUGAGUCAAAAUCCCCCCCCCCCUUUUUUUUAAUAUUGAAGCUUUUUUUUUUUCAAGCAACAUGUGACAAUAAAGUGUCCCACUCUUCCUUUUUACCAUUUAGCUGUUCUACAGACUAAACACUCUUCUCAAAUUGAAUUUCCCAACAUUGGAGGUUUCAUUUGGUACAACGAGCCUUUUUUUUUUCUUUUACCCUCUUCUAUCCCUACCCAGAUCCCAACAUGUCCUUUUUCUUUUUUUCUUCAAGAAAGGUGCGCGCAGCACUGCGCAGCAGCCGGAGCUGUCAUUGGCAGGGCAGCUCAAAUGAAAUUUUGUUGUAUAUGAAAGUGUGCAAUGACCAAUAAAGAUUGAUUGAUUGAAUAGGUAUGAAUUUGAAUUCUGCACAAUUGGUCAGACUCACAAAGCCUCACCAGCUUUUUGUACAUUUUCGAGACAAAUUAUACCAAUGUACUUUGAUGUCAAGAUGCAUGCCUAUUAUAUAAACUGCACACAUUUUGGCACAACAUCUAUAAAAAAAAUCCUUUUUGUAGUAUAACAGGUCCUUUCAAAAACACAAUAGUCUAAACGUACAUCUUAAGAGUGUUUAAAUCCACAUCUUGGCACAGUUGGAAAUGCGUCCUCAGACUAUUUAGAAUAAGACAGCAACCACAGUCUGCUGCUUUUCAUCUUUCUCUUUUCAUAUAUUUUAAUUUAAUUUUGCCAUUAUGCCCUUUAAUGGAUCUAUGACCUUACUUUCUUGAACAUUCUUCAGAAAUAUGAAAAAGCACUGUGCAGCUCACCUUCUCUCCUUUUGCAUCCAACAGUGAUCUUGGGCAAAGAAACACAGAAACAUCAAGUAUUUGUACUGUGCAUUUUGACAUUUCUUGUCUCACCCCACCUAAGGUGACAAUAGACAUCUUCUUCACGCUUUCCCUCAGAAAUCCACCGAACUGACUUUAGAUUGAUACAAUACAGAGGGAGGUCAACAGAUGAAUACAGUUUUUUUAUAUAAAGAAAGAGGGUUUGUCAGCACUGUUCCCUCUAAGCUGCGCGCGUGCGCAAUUGCGCACUGCUGACGGUCUCCGCGCACAGAAAAUCUGCGCUGCGCACACAAAAAAAAAAUCCAACCUAAAUUGUAAAUAAAAUAAACACGUAACAAUUCAUUCUGUGCUAUUUUUCAAUGUGAGUCAGUGAGUGACCGGUGACUGGCUGCUGCAGCCAAUGAUGCGAUUCACAUACGUAUUUACCAUAGACUGUAUAUAAUGGUAUUUACGCAGCUAAUCAAUGUCAGGCGUCCUUAUGUGUAGCCACCCUUGUUGUCAUAGAUAUGAAUGAGUAGAUAGGACACGCCCCUUUGAGCUGUUUGCUACGGCGAGGCUAAGCUAGUGGGCUCACUGUGCUGCAUACAAUUGCACACUGCGUCGUACGAUUGAGACAAGGAAACUUGGAAUUACUUUUCAUAGGUAAGAAUAGUUUUUGGCUCUUUUUUCAUUAUGAAAUCUUGUUUGGAGCUUCCAGUCUAUGAGAGCUAACUAGUUAGCCACUAGCAAAAUGCUAAGGCGAGCUAGCAGCUUGACAACCAAAUACCAGACGAUUAAUAGUAGCUGUAGUAUAGUUGUACAAGCAGUAGUAGUAAUACUAAAAGUACAAGCAGCAGUAGUAGUAUAAACAGCUGUUAGAGUCAUAGAAGUAGUAUCAGCAUUUGUAAUAAUAUUACAAUUUGUAGUAGCAGUGCCAGUAUCACCACCACUACUACUAGUAGUAGUCACAUUGCUAUUACUACCACCAAUACUACCAAUAGUAGUUAUAAAGCCUAACUCAUGUAUAUCCAGAUUACCAUCUAUGUUCUUCCUCCAAACCCAUUUUAUGAUUGGGAUUACAGGCAGUUCUUUAGGACUGCUCUCAAAUAAUUGAAAUGUUUCUAAACAAGGUUAUACUUAUCAAAUUAAAUAGCUCUGGUCUCCAGUAUAUUGGCGAAUUCUGUUCUUUGUACUUAAUUUAUUAGCAUGAUUUCUUUUUAAUAUGUUGUGUACAGACUUAAUUACUUCUCUGUCUACUUUUCUUACUCCAUGUAGGUUUCCCAGAGACUAUGGGUUGAGGAGGAAUUGGAAAUCUGUCGGCUUAGACCUGGUGUCAUUCCAUCAAUGUUAAACUUCCCGGCUCAUCUUGGAAGAGUACGUGCCAGAAAGACCACGACCAAGCAGCCUUGAGAUCUUAGGCAGCGUCUCCCUGAGGUCCCUCUCUAUCUCCCCACACAUCCACCAACCACUGGAACACAUCUCCAAAGUUCUGCUGGACCAGCUCAGCUUCCCCUCAGAAGAAGUGCCGCCACCUGCCAGAUGAAGGAGCCUUUUGAGAGGCAGCUGGCAUCGUGAUUGGACUGUACUUUGGUCUGUUCCAAUCCAGCUUCAGCACCAGAGACGGCAGGCGGGACGAGUCAACGGAGGCCGGGUGGACGAAGACAUGCAGCUGAGUACAAUCCAGAAAACAACAGAGGAGGAGUGCAGCAGCCCAGGGCCAGAACAAACAGAGUAGCAUCAUAUGUCUCUUAGAAAACAUCAUAGUAUAGCCUUUGGGAUGAAAAAACACCAUCAUAUACAUCGUAUAUUGUACAAAUAACAAGUCAAAGGAAAGAGACAUACAUUGUAGAAUUGUAGUAAUUGUGGGCUGAAUGAUUUACUGAUUAUCAGUAUUUUAUUUUUUACUGAUUUACGGUAAUAAAUAAAUUUAAAAAUGG